rnacentral:lncRNA from 10 species
AAGCGAAGCCGCGGCGUUGGCGAGGCCGGUCCCGGCUCCCCAGCCGCCGCGCCCCAGCUCCGUCCUCCCGGCUCGGCCGGCCGCCCUGGGCCCCUCCCCGCACCGCCCGCCUCUACGUUCUGGACCCGGACCCGACCGGCCCGGCUCCGGUCCCUGCCCGGGUCCCGGUCUCUUCUGGCAGGCCACGCCACCUCUUGGCUUUCUGCCCACUAAUAAGAUUGUUGAUGUUGAUGACUGGGCACAGGCUGCGGCCCCUCCUGAGCCCCUCAGAAGCAAAACUGGAAUGAGAGUGGGGAGCUGCCCGUCUUCCAGCAGGAGGCGGGCCCCGACUCCCGCCGAGCGACUCCGGGCCCCGCGCGGUCCCUGUCACCUUGUAUUCUCAUUGCCCGUUCCGCGGCCGUCAGCUCCCAGGAUUGCCCCAUUUAGCAAAUAGCUUUCGACAACCCCUCUUCGUCAGACGUUGUAGGUGCAGAGGUGCUGGAGUGGACAGAGGCAAGGCGCCCGCUCUUGGGGAGCUCACGUUCUGGUGGGAAGAGACAGAAACACAUUAAGAACCUAUCUGUAAAAUAAAGAUAAUUUCAGGUGCAGAUCCCUGAAUUCAAUGGAGGUCAGUGUGAUGGGAGUCGGAGCGAUACCUGCGAUAGGGAAGGAUGCAUUUCCGCUGAGACCAUCACGAUCGUAAAGAUCUGCACUUUGAAGACCUGGCGCAAGACCAGACAGAGGGAACAGCCAAUGCAAAGAUCAUUAGGGGAGGGGGGCAGAAAGAGAUCAGCGUGUCCAAGGAAUUGCAAAAUGGCCUGUGUGGCAGGAGAGUAGUAUGACAAGAGGUAGGCAGAGGCUAGGUGUAGGGCUUUGGGGGCCUUGGAUUUUGUUCUGAGUGCAAUGAGAAGGCAAUGGAGGGUGUUUGCAGAAUCCCAUGAUCUUACUUAAUCUGUGAAGAUCCAUAGUGUAGCUUGUAUGGGGGAAAGGCAAAGAUGACAACAGGGACGCCAGUUAAGAGGCCAAGUAGUCCACGAGAGAGAAGUGUAGCUUUGGCUAGGGUGAGAGUAGUGAAGAUGGAGAGGAAUGGACAGAUUUGGAUGUUUUGUAGAUAGAGGGAAGGACCUGCUGAUAAUGGGGAAGGAGUUGAAAGAGAACUCAAGAAUAAGUUUUUGACCUGAGCAACCAGGUGUUAUGAUCCCGUUUACUGAGUUGUGUGUGCAGCGUCUUAAGUUGGAUGAAUAAACAGGAAAAUAAGGCAUUUGCAUAAUUUGUCAGCAUAUGCUAUGGUGGAGGUUUUCUUUUCUUCCACAGCUCAUGGGCCGAAUCACCACUAACCCUGACGUUUGAUCCAGCUCUCCCUAAUGGUACUCCGUGCAGCAGAUGGAGAUGAAACACUCAUUUUCUCCUUAAAUGCCACAUAGGUCGUCUCUAGAAGGACCUAGAAGAGUGACAUCUGUCUCUAUUUUUGGAAUGCUUACAUGUCCACAAAAUUCAGGAGGUUUCAAAUUCCACCAAAUCCAACAGCCUUGCAGAAAUGUGCAACAGAGUAUCAGUGUCACUACAUAGCUGGGAGAAGGAAGGGUUUGAUUGCUGGUCUAUAUUGACUUUUCUGUCCAAACAUUGGUCUCUUGGGGGAAAGGUUUUUUUUUUUUGUUAUUAUACAAUUUAUUUUUCCUCUGCCACAGAAAUUGACACAAGAUAAUUCAUAUACUCCAAGGAUCCAGAUAUAAUGCAUAUCACAUUACUGCAAUAGUCUUCAGUUUCUUUUUUCUUUUCUUCUUUUUUUAAAUAAGUACUGGAGAAAUUUAAUUGAGUCAUAUUUGGCUUCUUGUUGGGGUUUUCUAUUGCCCAGUGAUAGAAGAAACUGUAACUAUACAGGACUAAAUUCCCAGAUAAUAUCCACUGAUGUUCUCUACUGGCCAGCUUAGAAGAAUCCUAGGGCUGAAUGUUUGAACAGUUUGCACAUAUUCUAACUCCAGCUGAAUAGAAUGAUGAUGAUUGGGUUCUUGUGUUUACAAUAAAUACAAGUAGCCAAGCGUGGUGGUUUGCACCUAUAAUCCCAGCUACUCCAGAAGCUGAGGUGGGAGGAUCACUUGAGUCCAGCAGUUCAAGACCAGCCUGGACAACACAGUGAGACCCCUGUCUCUAAUAAAUAAAAUAAAUAAAUAAUACAGUUCUUCCUUUUACCCUUUACAAAUGGUUCUGGGUCUAAGAUUAAAGCACAAGAACAACCAGUAUUGAGUUAAAAGAAUUUAAAACAUUUUUAUCAUACUAAUGGCUGCACAUCAGUACAGAGAAUAGUCACCUAUCCCAAACCUUCCUACCAUCCAGAAUGGGAGGUGGGGUUGGCAGGGGCCAAACUGUUUACAGAUUUCCCAUUAAUCCCUCUUUUUAUCCCUAUAGCUCUUUUCUUUUCUUUCUUUCCUUUUUUUUUUUUUUUUGUCAGAGAUAGGGUCUCACUAUGUUGUCCACGCUGGAUUUCAACUUCUGGCCUUAAGUGAUCCUCCCACCUCAGCCUCCCAAGUAGCUGGGACUACAGGCCCACACCACUGUGCCUGGCUGGUGUUUCAGAGUCCCCAGUCUCUGAGGUCUGCAGGACAGAUCAGUCCCCUUCUCUCUGUAUCUCAGUCUAGAUUUUAGCAGAGGCAAACCCUAAGGGUUUGGGAGAGGUGAUGGAGUGAAGCAGAGAGAAUACAGAACUAUGUUCUAGUUCCUGCCCUGCUCCUGACUUGACCUUGGGAAAGCCAUGUCACCUCUCUGGGCCUUUUACCCCCAUCUGGCCUAACAAGACUCCUGGCCUCGGUGACAGAAGCGUCCCAUCCUCUCACCCACCCCUAAGCAGAGCAGCUGGGACUUUUCAGAAAUGAGCCACAAGACUCCUUAUGGCAGAAAGCCUUGGGGACCCAGAAGAACAUAGAAGGCUUCCAGGAGGGAGAUAUGCUGUGCAGCCUGAAGUCAUAAACAGCCAUUCUGCAGCUGUUAAAGGGCCAUGAACAUGGCAUGCUCUAUUGUGAUGGAUGGCAGGCCUUGGCCAGAAGAGGCUGAAUCCAGAUGGGACCACGGGCAAAGCUGUGGAAGGGACUGUGUGAUCACUCUUCUCUUUAAGGAGUAUCUUCAGCCUGACAAUAAACACACUGUCUCCCUAGGGGUUAGGUUUCGUGGGCCAAGAGCAUGGUGGACGCACCACACAUGUACCUGGGGUUUCUGGGGUUAGAGAAGACACAAGAAACUAAAUCCAGAGUUAGCAGCUUGCGCCCGGGCUCAAAUCUCAGUUUGUUUCAUGGAUUGGUUCCCUUUGAGCUGACUCAGAAAUGCGAUUAUUGAUUAGUGCAGAAAGUUUAUUAGAGAGCCUUUGAGAAUCAAGUCCUAUGGGGAAAGGGAAGCAGGGGUGGGAAGAGGGAGAAGUCAGUCUGUGCUGCAGUCAUGGGAGGCUUUGGCAGACCCCCAGGGGAGUUCUGAAACUAGGAUAGCUGCUGAGUUGGCCUGAGUUGGAGUAAAUGGGCCAAGUCUUUUCAUCCCUGCACUGACCUGCCAUGGAGCUUGGAGGGCAGCUCUCUUUAGACAAAGACAAUUCCUCAAGAGGGCUGACAGCUGAGAUCUGUCAACCUACC